rnacentral:rRNA from 1 species
UGAUUAAUCUUGGACAAUGGGCGCAAGCCUGUUCCAGCCAUGCCGCGUGCAGGAAGAAGCAUCUAUGGUGUGUAAACUGCUUUUGUACGGGAAGAAACACUCCUUCGUGAAGGAGCUUGACGGUACCGUAAGAAUAAGGAUCGGCUAACUCCGUGCCAGCAGCCGCGGUAAUACGGAGGAUCCAAGCGUUAUCCGGAAUCAUUGGGUUUAAAGGGUCCGUAGGCGGUUUAGUAAGUCAGGGGUGAAAGCCCAUCGCUCAGCGAUUGAACGGCCAUUGAUACUGCUAGACUUGAAUUAUUAGGAAGUAACUAGAAUAUGUAGUGUAGCGGUGAAAUGCUUAGAUAUGACAGGGAAUACCAAUUGCGAAGGCAGAGUACUACUAAUGGAUUGACGCUGAUGGACGAAAGCGUGGGGAGCGAACA